CCUUGGCUGUCCUAGACUUGCUUUGUAGACCAGGCUAGCCUUAAACUUACAGUGAUCCACCUGCUUCUGCCUCCCGAGUGCUGGGAUUAAAGGCGUGUGCCACCAUGCCCGGCUACCAUAUAGGAUUCUUGAUGUGAAAAAUCAGUUAGGACAAGGUUCAACUCUUGGUUUAAAAGGAACAAUGCUGUUAUUUUUCCCAAGGCCUAGCUGGAAACUCCAAGAGCCACGACAAAAGACCAAAAUAGCACCGUUAUCAAAGGUUAAACCCAUGGAUUCCUUUGUUAAACUACUCAUCUGAUUUCAUUUGUGGGGGCUUUCUUUUCCCAGGGUGAGGAAGAUAAAACACAUGGCUGAGAGUCAUACUAGUUCCCACGUCUCAGCAACAAACACAGAGGCACCUAAAGUCCACCCCAUCGCAUUUACCCAAUUCACUUGAAUAUGAGUCCAUUAAGUGGCCUCUUACCUUUUGCACCAGGCUGGCCUCGAAUUCAUGAAGACCCACCUACCUCCUGAGUGCUGGAAUUAAAGAGGAAGAAGAACCCAACCACAGCCAAGAGCUGAAUUGUGUUCCCCUAAAGGGUCUCAUGUGGCCCAGGCUGACCUUGAACUCCUGAUCUUCCUGUGACAAUUUCUCAAGUCCUCAGAUCACAGGCAUGGGCCACCAUGUCCAACAAUGUGAGAGACGGUUAUGUUACAAAGCUUAUCAUUCAAGUAGGAGAGACAAGAGUGGAAUGGCAAAAUUCCCGCAUUCCUUUCGGACGAUGCAGCAAUCACUUCUGAGAAUCGAGACGACUUAUUUGGGCUAAGGGACAGCAGACAGGGCUCUGUAGAGCAAGAGGCCGUGCCCACGCCUCCUGCUGAGGAAGCACAAAAUGGAAUCAGGCUACCGAGACUAAACCGCUUGCACCACAUUCUUCACCAGGAACAAACGGCCAUUAAGAGUACAGUGCUCUGACUAGAUUCCAUACAGUGCUACGGAAGCAAGAAAGAAAAAUGGAGAGCCCCUGGGAAUUGACCUCUGGCUACAGGCCUGGGGUCAGUCCGGCUCCCUGCUAACUGUGUACUCUCCCGCUUAAAAUAAAC